UGGACAGGCAGCGGGAUUGCGGGCGACCCUUACACAAUCAUCAAUUCAAGCUCCUCCGAUAUCACGCUGAACCCAGGGCAUAAUGUGUCCUAAAAGCUGGUGUUAGGUUGCAGUAGCAUCUGCCUAAUAGAUAUUGCAGAGUCUGAACACAAAUGGGCUUCUCUUAAAGUGUGUGCUGUAUCACUUCACACCGCUCACAGUUUCCUGCCAUUGAUCAAGCCCCACCUAUUCAGCUGAUGGGCCAGAGGAGUAACCCGAUCACCUAACAAGAAAGGAGCAGAGGAGAGAGGAAGGAUAAAAUGAGAGAAAUGUAUGGACUGAUGAGAGACUGGAACCUGGGUGAGGUCAAUCCUGCCGUACUCUCUGUGGGUUAAAGCUGCAUGUUUGAGUGACUAGCGGCAGCUCUAUAAAGGCUUGUGAGAUUUGCAGGAAAUAGAGGAAACUGGAGUCUGAGGGAGACUGGGAGACGGAGGCCACAGAAGAGCAAGGAGGAACAGGUCAGAUUGGGUUUACUGGUCUGUCAGUAUGUCAGUGAUACCCCCUCUGCAUCAGUCCGUCAGCACUGCAUAUAGCACUUACGGGACACACACAGGACACACAUGCACAACUUUAAAAAUACCCUUUCAUGACAAAUUUGCAGAUUGCAGUAAAAUGACAUUUUCCAGCUAGCCUACGCAUUUAGAAACCGGAGCUGCUUAACACCCAUUACGUGUAAAUACAAAUAAUGUGAAUUUCAAACAUGUUUCGGAAAGAUGUGUCAUCAUCGGAGACAAAAACUUUGGAGAAAUCUAAUCCAAAAAUGUGGCCGCAUCGAUGAGUGACAGGAUGUUGCAACACCAUGUACACAGAUACCUUCGGUGAUGCUGUGAAUGUCUUCCAAUAUACACA